rnacentral:hammerhead_ribozyme from 1 species
GCUUUGCUGAGGAAUCCCAUAAUAGGACGAAACGGCCGUCCAAUAC